GGACACCUGGAUGGGGUUCUCUGGCUGCUGCAUCAGUUUCCUUGGCAACGUAUGAGAGGGCCUUGGAGUGAGGAGGGCCUGGCUAAAGCAAUUCCAAGUGAUUGUCACAACGAUGCCCACGUUACACAUGAAAAAACCAGGCAACACGGGCUGAUGACUUCACCUCUCUAAGCAUGAGCAGUCAGAUCUUGGUUACUAGGAACUCACUCAAGAUCACCAUCUCCUCUCACACCCUGAAGGACUGCAUCAAGAUGAAAGAAUCUGAGACACAAUGGGAAAUGAAUAUAAAUUAAGGAUUUAUUACAAAAUGCAAAAUGUUAGUUUCUUACUGUCAGUGAUUCAAGAAAACAAGGCCAUAAGCCCUGCGUGUUGCUGGGGGCAAAAAGCCAGGUUCAGGAGCGGGCUGACAGGCACUGGUUCACAACCUC